GGAAUUGGCGCCGGGUCUGGGGGAGUUGCUGAUGGCAGUGACCAUGGCUACGGUGGGGCGUUGCGUUGCCAUGGAAGCAGGCAUGGUGGAGGCGGCAGCUUUCAGCACGAGAGGCAGCUCAGCUAAUUUUCUGCCUGCUGGGACACGUCGCCUCUGACUGCGAGAAACAUAUCUUCAUUUAUCGCAAAUCCAGCGACUAACAGUCAGGGAAGAAUUGAAAUAAGGACUCGUCGACUUGUUCUCCCAGGUCCAGGAAUGGCUUGAAUCGCCUAUAAAACCGCCAAUCACAAAACGUCAACGUAGCAACAGAUGGAUCUAUGAAAGUCAUGGAAAUCCACCAUAUGUUUGUUGGGAACUUGGGAUAGUGGUGAAAAUAGCUUUCCUGUAGCUAAGUGGUAAGAGCAUGGCGUUAACAACGCCAAGGUCGUGGGUUCGAACCCAGGGGAUUGCACAUACUAAGAAACAAACGUAUAGGAUAAUACAAUGGCCUCCUGUAAUGUUUGCAAUUCCAUCAUUGAUCCAGUUCGCUGGAAAGAGUCUCAGGAAACUUUCAGCCUGUCCUGAGAAAUCAAAAAGAACGCCGUUUGAGGUUUAUUGGUUUUUAUUUUAUGUAUUUAACUUUUAUUCAGCAGGGCGUCUGAGAUGUUUGGAGGCCGACUUAAUCCGAUGCCACCUCAGGGGAGAGCAAAAGUCGGUGUCUAAUACGGGUUGAGAGAAACAUGCACUUCUCAAUCUAGGCGCGUUGCACGAAGUCUCAGGCGGUCUCCGUUCGUGCUCCCACAGCAAAUCUAAGACUCGGCGCAGUGGAAUAUUUUGAACCUCGCGUUUGAGGUCAAAAAGUCUCUCGGCAAAACAGGGCUAAGAGGAAAAUAACUAAAUGGAAGUUCUUGCAGAAAGCAAUUCACUGAGGUUGGAGGAUCAAAACUCGUGACAAUCUAGAUGGCGGCGGAACCGCUCACCCAUUAGGCGACUCGUAACAAUUCCGUCACGAAGACGUGUUUAGUGUUACAGUGAGCGAAACGAAGGCAGUGUUACAGUCAUUCUUUGACUUUCAUUGAUUUUUGGCGUGUGGCCUUGUGCCAAGAGGACAAUUAUAACAGAAGCUAUUA